GGCCGGUUAGCUCAGUUGGUUAGAGCGUGGUGCUAAUAACGUCAAGGUUGCGGGUUCGAUCCCCGUACGGGCCA